GACGAACGGCUGGCGGCGCGCCUAACACAUGCAAGUUCGAACGAGCGUAGAGAGAGCUUGCUUUCUCAAGCGAGUGGCGAACCGGGUGUAGUAACGCGUGAGGAACCUGCCUCAAAGAGGGGGACUAACAGUUGGAAACGACUGCUAAUACCGCAUAAGCCCAACGGCUCGGCUAUCGAGCAGAGGGAAAACGGAGUGAUCCGCUUUGAGAUGGCCUCGCGUCCGAUUAGCUAGUUAGGUGAGGUAACGGUCCCUACCGAAGGCGACGAUCGGUAGCCGGACUGAGAGGUUGACGGCACAUUGGGACUGAGACACGGCCCAGU
rnacentral:rRNA from 1 species